GACCUCAUGGCCUAGCGGUUAACGCUACCGUUUUGGAAAUAUUCAACGCGGGUUCGAUCCCCAUCGGGGUCA